GCGUCUGCUGCUGGUGCAGCUCGCCGUUUGACCACACAAAGGAAGAAUGUGGAAAUCGUAUCAGUUGGGGUUGCAGGAAAAUCUGAUACUGGUCGGGUGAAAAAGUAUUUUCGUCUAGAGGUAAAAAAAAAAAAAAAAAUCCCUAUGUUCACUUGUAAAGUACAACAUCCAUCUUGAUCCAAUUUAUUGGUUGCUAUAAAUUUUCCAAGCAAGUGCAUCCAAAUGAUCAAUUAUAUAUGAACUAUGAAGUGAAUGGGGAAAUUAAAUUAUUCAGCAACUUAAGACGAAACACAUCAUGAAGUGAAGUACUCAGUGAUGAAGUUGGCAGAGGCAAUGUCAUUUAGCAUCCAUGUAAAAGAUGGCCAACUCAAGCUCAUUCUAACAUUCACUUCGUAAAACUAGAAGAAUCUUACAUCUCUCAAAUUAGAAAAGGAAAAAGAAAAGAUAUAAACAUAAGUUAGUGAUUCACCAAACCAAAACUAUAGUACCAAUUUAUUAUAAUGCAAAUAAGAGCACAGAAGAUAGUCGGCUGAGUUAAGCUGCAAAGUGAGCACACACGCACACACACACAGAGAGAGAGAG
rnacentral:misc_RNA from 1 species